rnacentral:lncRNA from 1 species
UGCAAUUCUAGCUCUGCUUGACUUGAAGUCACACAAGCCCACUCAGAGAAGGGGACAUGUGCUGUCCCUCCCCCCACAUUCAUCUGUCAUUCCUCUGCAGGUUACAAGAAUAGGAAGUCCUCUCCCAGAAUACUCCCCAUGACAGAUGGCAGAAUUACACCAGGAGAGACCCAGAAGAGGAACACAAGCAAGGGCGCCACAGGCAGUGUGGCACAUGACUGACUACAUUGAUAUAAUCAAAGAUGGAUCAAAUAUGCAACAAAACUAUACUUCAUAAGCAAACACAGAAAAUCAAACAUAAU